CCUACGGGUGGCUGCAGUGAGGAAUAUUGGUCAAUGGACGCAAGCCUGAACCAGCCAAGUAGCGUGCAGGAUGACUGCCCUACGGGUUGUAAACUUCUUUUAUCAGGGAAUAAAAUGCGGCUCGUGUGCCUUUUUGUGUAUGCUUUAUGAGUAAGGGUCGGCUAACUCCGUGCCAGCAGCCGCGGUAAUACGGAGGAUCCGCGCGUUAUCCGGAUUUAUUUGGGUUAAAGGGAGCGUAGAUGGGUUGUUAAGUCAGUUGUGAAAGUUUGCGGUUCAACCGUAAAAUUGCAAUUGAUACUGGAAGUCUUGAGUACAGUCGAGGUAGCCGGAAUUCGUGGUGUAGCGGUGAAAUGCUUAGAUAUCAUGAAGAACUCCGAUCGCGAAGGCAGGUGACUAAAGUGCAACUGACACUGAGGCUCGAAAGUGCGGGUAUCAAACAGGAUUAGAUACCCCUGUAGUC
rnacentral:rRNA from 1 species